GCGUAUGAUGAACUAUCGGGUCUACUGAUUUGAUGAUGACCCGCUGGAGCACUGAUC
rnacentral:ncRNA from 17 species